GGCGGCCGUAGUUAUGACAAUCUUAAUGGUAUAAAACUCGGGUCUACUGAAAUUGACGACAGUCAAUUCAAUCUUAAAUAUACCGAUGCUAAAAUACUUCCACUAUUGCAGGAAAAGUUCGUUAUAGCACUUCUAAAAUUACCUGACACUGU